GACACGCUCCUUAGAUCCACCUCUGGAGGUUGUGGGCCUGGCCCAUUCCUCAGCAGCCUGUAGCUGUACUGUCGGAGGUGCUUGAGUCAUUGGCGUGUCAGAGCAGUCCACCUGUCCCCCAGCCCAGGGCCCCACUGGCCCCUGUCCCAGAGGCAGGACACACCAGUGGGGCCAGUCUGGGAGAUGGACAUA